rnacentral:misc_RNA from 1 species
CCGGGCAGCGAGCGACCGCCUGCCGCCAUAUUGAUUUUUCUAAUGUCACCCCCGACCCGAAACACCGCGCGCGCCAAAAACCGCUCGCAUUCCGCUCGUCAUGAAUAAAAAUAACAACCUAUUCAUUCCCAUAACAAUAUAAAUGUUCCCUUUAGUGUUAAAUAUCUUGAAAUACAGGACUAAUAUCUAGCCAGGAUCCGAAAAGAGAGAGACGGUCAAUGAAAAAAGGAUAGGCUGAUAACCGUGUGUUAAUUAAAUUGUAAUUGAAAAUCCUGGUUGUAUGGACUUGUGGUAGUGAAGUGUUCAAAUUUAAAAACUAUUGAAGGUUCGGAUUCCUGCCCUAGAACCAUCCAAACUCUUUAUCCCCUGUGCUCUAUAAAAUACCUAAUUUAUAAAAAAAACUCCUAAUCGCAACACAAACCUCAUUGCUGUCAAUUUAAAAAUAAAAACCCACCGCCAUAAUAUAAAUAAAAGUAUUAUUAAAAAAAUAAAUUUAAAAAUAGAAUUAAAAAAAAUAUACAAUAGUGCAGUGACAGUGCGUACUUUUGUAACGAGUAUGCGUCACUAGUAUUUGAAAGUAGCAUUUCAAGAUGGCGACACCGCCAGAAUCUCCGGUGGAGGAGCAUGCCUACGAGUUAGAGCCAAGUCGAACUCCGAAGCCGAUUCCUGUGGCCUUGGAAGAGCUCUGUCGACAAACCAAGUUCUCGAAGCAAGAAAUCAGAGUCAUGUACAGAGGAUUUAAAACCGAGUGCCCCGAGGGCGUGGUCCAUGAGGACUCCUUCAAAGACAUCUACGCGAAGUUCUUCCCACAUGGCAAUUCGGCAUUAUAUGCCCACUAUGUGUUCAAAGCGUUCGACGUUAACUGCAGUGGAGCGAUCAGCUUCAGAGAGCUGUUAGUGACCCUCUCAACGCUGCUCCGCGGUUCGGUCUACGAGCGUCUGCGCUGGGCGUUCAGGUUAUACGACGUGGACGGUGACGGAGCCAUCACGCGGCAGGAGCUGGCGGAGGUGGUCCUGGCGGUGCACGAGCUGCUGGGCCGCCGGGCGCCUCCUGGCUCGCCGCACGCCAGACUUGACGACGCCAAGGCCAAUGACCAGGUGGACCGCGUGUUCAGGAAGCUGGACCUGAACCAGGACGGCGUGAUCACCAUCGAGGAGUUCCUCGAGUCGUGCCUCAAGGAUGACGUCAUCACGCGCUCGCUGCAGAUGUUCGACACGGCGCUAUGACGUCAGACUGACGACGCGCUCACGCCCGCACCAGUUGCUAGGUCUGGGCGCGUCUAUAAGUUUCUGGAUCCAUGACACAGGGAACCCAGUGACACUAGAGUGGGCCGACAGACGGGUUCCAGGAGCGCGGCAAAGCGCACCUACCCCCCUCCGCAGCCCGUGUGCCGCUGCGCACACGUAUACGACUGGCAGAUGACGUUUACAACAUGGCGGUCGCGCGCGUUAGAGUGCGCUCGCUACCUAACGAUCAUCGAUAACUUCUACAACGCGCGCGUUCGCCCGCGUCUGCGUUCUGUCCUGCUCUUCCAAUUUUAGACUUUUGUAAUGUUAGUGGGAGUGUAUGUGUUCUUUGAGAAGGUGGGUAUGUACCAACUUUGGUGCUUUGGUAACAACUUCAAUACCUAUUGAGUUUUGAUACUGACUUUGGUAACUUAGUACCGAGUUUGUCGCUUUGGUAACAACUUUGGCGUUUUGGUAACAACUUUGGUAAUUAGUUAACAAUUUUGGUACUAAAGGUAUCAAAGGCUAGGGUGACAACUUAGAUACUUACCUACCUACUAAGGCUGCUGAGGUAACUAGUAACAACUUACAUAAGUUAACUUACUUGGUAACAACUUUGGUAUUAAAAUAACAAAGGAUGAUAGUUAGCAACAGCAUUAUGGUACCAACUUUGAAACUUUAGAAACAACUUUGCUCCCAAAAGUCAAA